UAGUAGAGAAUUAAAUUCACACGCAAAUAGAAACUUACGUCGUAAGAUAUGGUGGAAGUUUGAGAAUCUUCGAAGAAGAGAAAUACGUGAUACGUAGGUGUGAAAUAGGCUCUAUCGGGAUUAGUUAGUUGGUGGGGUAAAGGCCUACCAAGGCAAUGAUCCCUAGCGGUUUUUGAUAGAAAGAUCCGCCACACUAGAACUGAAAUACGGUCUAGACUUCGAUUAGAAGGCAGCAGUAGGGAAUAAUAGACAAUGAGCGUAAAGCUUGAUCUUGUGACACUAAGUAGGCAAUGACGGUUA
rnacentral:rRNA from 1 species